UCGAAGGAUGUCCCUCUCUCCAGGCGAGGUUGUGCUGUGCUUCCUCUCAGCUCUGACUUCUCUGAGCAUCUAGCUCGGUCUGACUGCCUAUAACCGAAUGGCUGUAUCACUAUGUGCACGGGAUGUGUCUCACAUUUUAUGUCAUACUACGUAGAAAGAUUAAAUCAAAGGCUACCAAAGGCAUUAACAUUAGAUCCCAAACUACAAACUUUCAGAAAAUGUAGGUGUGCAUCUUCAUGACCUUGGAUUUAGCAAUGUGUUUUUUUAUGUUAUUUUAUUUUUUUGGAACCGAAAAUCGAAUUUAGGACCUCACACUUGCCAGGCCAGUGCUGUGCUGCUGAGUUAUAUCCCCAGGCCAGCAACGUGUGUUUUAAUGACACUGAGAGCACAAGCUACAAAGGAAAAAAAAAAAAACAGAUAAAUUAGAUUUUAUCUAAAUUGGAAAUUUGUCAGGAAACCAAGAGGGCAAGCCAGAGAAUGAGAGAAUCUACGGCCACAAAACAUAUGAAAGGGCGCCCUUACCCACAGUCAUGAGGGAAACACAAAUCAAAACCACAGUGAGAUAACACUUCGUGCCCAACCCAUAGUGAAGAACACAAUGUUUUAAAAAUUAGAUAACAAGGGUUAGCAAGGACUUGAAGAAAGAAUCCUCACAUGCUGCUGGCAGGAGUGUGGAACGUUAUGGCUGCUCAGGAAAACGAUCCAGAAUUUUCACCAAGACUGAUCAUGGGGUAGUUACCGGUUAGCCCAGGAAUUCCGCUUAGCAGCCUGGAGGCCCCUUGAUCGAUGAGCGGAUGAUCACAGUAUAGAUAGGAAAUUUGGAGACAACAGAGGUGGAUACUUGACCAAAAAAGUGAUGCAGUACGGGCACGUGCUACACCGUGGCUAAAUCUUGAAGACAUCAUGCUAAAUGACAGAAAGUGGUCACAGAAGACCACAUAUGACAUUACUUCAUUUUGCUGAGGCUGGAAGUCAAGGUCUUACAUAUGCUAAGCAAGUGCUCCACCCUAGAGCCACCUCCUCAGCCCUGAGCUUUACAUUUUAAAUGAAUGAUUGUAAGGAAUGAAAUUAUGUCUCACUCAAGUUACCUACCUUUCGACUAACCAGGUCAUGCCUUGUCUCUGCCAGGCACUUGCAAAGGUUUCCAUUUGGCUCUGAAGGGUACAUUUCAAAGUUAGAGAAGCCUGUGAGGCCCAGCAGCACCAGGCCUCCCUCCCCCAGCUGAUGUCAUGUGCUCUCAAGGUCCCCUAGAUCGGCCUGUUAACUGGGCUGGUUUGCUCCAUGUAACGCAGGGCUCAUUCCCGUCCCUUGGUCAGAUGCAAGGCUGAAGUGCAUGCUGGUGACACAGCCGGGGAAACACAACAGCACAGGGCCGGAGGACAGCACUGCCUCUCCAUGCUCCCCUGGGCCAUGGCAAGAGGGCCGGCAUUGGAUUAGCUGUUACGGGUACUUCCUCCGUCAAAGGCCCAAUGACAAGGAUGCAGCACAUGGUGUUGAAGUUAGUUCAGUGAUGGAGACGGUGACAUAGACAGCUGGAGGCUGAUGCUGCUUGCCCAGGAUUUCUCUGAGCAGGUGACCCUUGUGGGGAGCUAGAGAGGAAGCCAGGCUAACAUGCGCAGGGCGACCCAGUGGAGACACAGCAGCUAGAGAUGAGCUGCCCCCAUCCAGAGCCAGAAGCUCCCCAGAGACCACAGUACCCCUAGACUGCCUUCCUGUAGUGGCCCAGGCUCACCCCAUGUCCCACCAGAGCAGGACUCCCCGAAUUCAUCAUUGCUGCCAGCUUCCUAUGCCCCACCUUGGGGAAGUGAGGCCCUAAGAAUAUGUCCAUGUCAGCUGUGCACGCUCAGAUGUGCUGUGCACCCUUCACAGAUGCUCUCUUAAAGUGUUCUCCAGAGGUGGCCGCAUGACACUCACUCACCUCUGGAAGCUGCUGAGGCAGGAAUAACAUGGCUGUGUGGGAGUGCAGGCCUGAGCCAGGACGGGCACAGUGCAUGGAUCUGGACUCCUUUCUAUCUCGGCCAAGAGAGCAAACCUGUGGGAGAUCAAGAGUUGUCACCUGAUGGGGCACAGUGGCACUUGCCUCUAAUUUCAGCACACUGGGAGGCUGAGGCAGGAGGAUUUCAAGAUCCAGUGCAGCCUGGGCAACUUAGUGAUUUAGGAAGAUGCUGUUUCAAAAUUAAAUAUAAAAAGGGGCUGGGGAUGUAACUCAAUAUGAAGGCCACUGAGUUCAAACCCAAUCCCCCAAAAAAUAAAAGAUGAAAAAGAGUUUGCAUCGUUUAUGACUCUGGAAUUCCAGGGAUGACAGAAACCACAGAGCGGGCAUUGUGCUCUUGCCCUGUGCUCCGAUCC